CGCACCCAUGAAAACUUUAUUUUCUUAUGAAUCUUUCUUUCAGAAAUCUUGGCAGGAAGGAAGAUUGGGCUAUAUAGAAAUAAACCAUGUCAAAAGAGCAUGGUAGAAAUUAAAAGAUGCCAUGCCAACGAAGCAUGAGCCAGAAAUAAACCAUGCCAAAAGAGCAUGGAAGGAAUGAAAAGAUGCCAUGCCAAAGAAGCAUGAGCCAAAAAAAAUGGAAGAAAAAGUAUAGUCCCAAUCUUCCCAAAAGCCUGAGAUAGAAGGAAGGGAGACAUAGCAAGGUAAAACAAAAAAAAUUAUACCACACAUGCACAAAUUUCGAUCUACGAGUAUGACGUUUCCCUCUAAGGACCCGAAGUUCUGCAAAAUGAAAGCACAAUGUAAGUAUGCAAAAUUUAAAACACAAAAUCAUUUGAGGAGCAUCAUUAUACAUUGAGAGAGAGAAAUUCCAAGAGCUGGAGCU
rnacentral:lncRNA from 1 species